rnacentral:lncRNA from 1 species
UGAUGUUUGGUUCCUUGUUGCAGUCUUUUGAGUUAAGCCCAUUGCAACAAAUGUUUACAAUUCGUUCAAAUGUUGUGCUGUUAUUUAAACCACUGUUGGGAAAAGGGUUUGUUCAUUGUCAAAGGUUGUACAGUGAACCAUUUUUGUUAAAUUAAAGGGGCUCACAGGUCUAAAUCAAAAAAUUUUCUUAAUAUAGAAUUUCACUAUAUUUUUCUAUAAAUGAACUUUAUC